UAGAUACCAUCUCCUCAUAGGCAGCUCUCCGUUACCAUGGAAACAAAACUGUCUCUUUCUUCUCCCCUCCCCCCACCCAACCAUUGCCCCGACAACCUUUUUUUCAUAAAGCGCUCUCCAGAAGGAAGGGUGGGUUACUCCAGUCCAGGAGAGUGAGUCAUUGUUCACAUGACACAGUUCUAGGCUGCACACACAGAUGGGCCAGUGCUCUUUUUGCUUUUAAAUCAUCAUCAGAGAUGUUCGGUUCCCAGAAACCUAAAACUGGAAAGAAAGAAGCAUGGAGAUCUAAUCUCAUUUUACAAAUAAGGAAACUGAGGCCCACAGAAAGGAGGUGGCUACCUGUUAGUGAGUGGCAACGCUGACACUAGAAUUUCAGUGCCUUGAUUUCCAGUCCUGUGUGAUUUCUAGUAAAUCAUGUUACUUUUCUCUACCUUCAUCAAUUCCUGAAUAUCUUCUUAUGAUAGAAAUUCUCCCAUAGGAAAUACAUUCUUUUAGUUGAAGACCUGGAAUCUUGUUAGCAUAUAAAUACCCCUGGGAGAAGCAAUAUUUUGGAGAUCAGACUGGAAAGGCAUUGCGGUCAUGAUGACACUUGAGCGAUUGGAGCCUGGAAUCGGGAGCAGGGCAGGAAACGAGGCUGAACGGCAGCGCGCAUCAUUAGCUACCUUGACUGUGUCAAAUACCCGCUUCUGUUGCACUCUGUCAAAAAGGAAAGUGUGUAUCAUCUGCCACUAACUGAAGCACAGGGAGGACACAAUUGGAGAAAUUAACUGUCUUUCUCAACCAGAAAUUGUUUAAAAGAAAAAAGCUGCCUCAAUUUUACGCUUAUUUAGAAUGGAUGUGACUAUAGUAAGGAUAGCUUAUGAGCCAAGCAGCUGUUAGAAUUAAAGGAAAAGCAAGAUUUCAGAACACACUAGGCUAUGUUUAUUAAACAUAAAGCUAUAUAAAGUGGGAUAAUCUCUCAAUAUCAAAAUUCCACAUUAGAGAACAUACUUACUAGUUUAAAAUAUUUAUAAAUUCCAGAACAAGGAAACUGAGGAAUGUUAUAAAAAAGGAAAGCUACCACAGAAAAAUGUAAAUUACAGACUGAGAAACUCCCCAGAAAUACAUUUUCUCUUUAUUCUGGUGCUUUGUUCACAGAGAUGAUGGCAUAUUGGACUUACUUUUGUUUGCAGAGAGAAGACUCCUCAUCUAAACUUAGUUCUUUGCGCAUGGUUCCCUCAAUUUCAGCUGCUAGAGAUUCCUGAACAAAAGUUUGGAUUUAAGAAUAUUUUGUUAAAAUGAGCAAUGUAAAAAAAAAUGUUUUACAUGAUUGAUUACACACGUAAAAUCUCUCUCAGAUUGCUUCCUCAAAUCAGAAAGUGAAGGUCAGAAGAAGGGAAUUUGAAACUCAAACUAAAAAUAAAAAUGUUAAAAAACUG